rnacentral:rRNA from 1 species
UACGUAGGGGGCAAGCGUUGUCCGGAUUUAUUGGGCGUAAAGAGCGUGUAGGCGGCCUGAAAGGUCAGCUGUGAAAACUCGAGGCUCAACCUCGAGACGUCGGUUGAAACCACCAGGCUAGAGUCCGGAAGAGGAGAGUGGAAUUCCCGGUGUAGCGGUGAAAUGCGCAGAUAUCGGGAAGAACACCCGUGGCUAAGGCGGCUCUCUAGUACGGUACUGACGCUGAGACGCGAAAGCGUGGGGAGCGAACAGG